GAUAUGGAUGGUGAUGGUCAAUUAAAUAUUACAGAAUUCAAUGACUUUCUGCACCCUGCGGACACCACCAACCCAAAGCUACUACUAUGGUUGUGCAAGGAAGAGAUAAGGGAGAGAGAUAGUGACAAAGAUGGGAAAGUUAACUUCAAUGAGUUUUUCCAU